GUGGGGACAACUAGCAACUCUGUGCUUUGUCACUAAGCCUUUAUACCUUCAGAUCCUCUCUGCCUGGCUGCUGGGAGAUAUAUCUGUCUUACUUCAAAAAGGCCCUAGCAGUGGGGUGCGGUGAGGUGACAGGCACCAUGCUAGGGACGAGCUCAUUUGCAAGUGGCCCUCUCUGUAGUUCAGACCGGGUUUGCCCAGCUCCAGCUGGCGCCUCCCUCCACUUCUGGUUUGACUGUCAUGCAGUGUUCACCGGGCCGCCUCACCGCCUCCUUCCUCAACAGCAAAAGAAAGACUCCAGGAAGAAGGGCAUCCCUUGGGUCCUGGAGGAUUAACACAGCGUGUGCAAUCUGCAUAUAUCUCCACCGCUGCCCACCCACCAAAUCUGCCUUUGCCCCAAAUACCCAUAAUGCAUUAUAAUGUGUAACUUACCUUACAAAAAUGA